rnacentral:rRNA from 1 species
CUGGGAUAACUCCGGGAAACCGGGGCUAAUACCGGAUGGUUGUUUGAACCGCAUGGUUCAAACAUAAAAGGUGGCUUCGGCUACCACUUACAGAUGGACCCGCGGCGCAUUAGCUAGUUGGUGAGGUAACGGCUCACCAAGGCAACGAUGCGUAGCCGACCUGAGAGGGUGAUCGGCCACACUGGGACUGAGACACGGCCCAGACUCCUACGGGAGGCAGCAGUAGGGAAUCUUCCGCAAUGGACGAAAGUCUGACGGAGCAACGCCGCGUGAGUGAUGAAGGUUUUCGGAUCGUAAAGCUCUGUUGUUAGGGAAGAACAAGUACCGUUCGAAUAGGGCGGUACCUUGACGGUACCUAACCAGAAAGCCACGGCUAACUACGUGCCAGCAGCCGCGGUAAUACGUAGGUGGCAAGCGUUGUCCGGAAUUAUUGGGCGUAAAGGGCUCGCAGGCGGUUUCUUAAGUCUGAUGUGAAAGCCCCCGGCUCAACCGGGGAGGGUCAUUGGAAACUGGGGAACUUGAGUGCAGAAGAGGAGAGUGGAAUUCCACGUGUAGCGGUGAAAUGCGUAGAGAUGUGGAGGAACACCAGUGGCGAAGGCGACUCUCUGGUCUGUAACUGACGCUGAGGAGCGAAAGCGUGGGGAGCGAACAGGAUUAGAUACCCUGGUAGUCCACGCCGUAAACGAUGAGUGCUAAGUGUUAGGGGGUUUCCGCCCCUUAGUGCUGCAGCUAACGCAUUAAGCACUCCGCCUGGGGAGUACGGUCGCAAGACUGAAACUCAAAGGAAUUGACGGGGGCCCGCACAAGCGGUGGAGCAUGUGGUUUAAUUCGAAGCAACGCGAAGAACCUUACCAGGUCUUGACAUCCUCUGACAAUCCUAGAGAUAGGACGUCCCCUUCGGGGGCAGAGUGACAGGUGGUGCAUGGUUGUCGUCAGCUCGUGUCGUGAGAUGUUGGGUUAAGUCCCGCAACGAGCGCAACCCUUGAUCUUAGUUGCCAGCAUUCAGUUGGGCACUCUAAGGUGACUGCCGGUGACAAACCGGAGGAAGGUGGGGAUGACGUCAAAUCAUCAUGCCCCUUAUGACCUGGGCUACACACGUGCUACAAUGGACAGAACAAAGGGCAGCGAAACCGCGAGGUUAAGCCAAUCCCACAAAUCUGUUCUCAGUUCGGAUCGCAGUCUGCAACUCGACUGCGUGAAGCUGGAAUCGCUAGUAAUCGCGGAUCAGCAUGCCGCGGUGAAUACGUUUCCCGGGCCUUGUACACACCGCCCGUCACACCACGAGAGUUUGUACACCCGAGUCGU